CAGAUAUCAGGAGGAACACCAAUGGCGAAGGCACAUCUCUGGGCCGUAACUGACGCUGAGGAGCGAAAGCGUGGGGAGCAAACAGGAUUAGAUACCCUGGUAGUCCACGCCGUAAACGGUGGGUGCUAGCUGUGGGCCACAUUCCACGUGGUCCGUGACGAAGUUAACACAUUAAGCACCCCACCUGGGGAGUACGGCCGCAAGGCUAAAACUCAGAGGAAUUGACGGGGGCCCGCACAAGCGGCGGAGCAUGCGGAUUAAUUCGAUGCAACGCGAAGAACCUUACCAAGGCUUGACAUAUAGAGGAAAAGUGCAGAAAUGUACUCCCCGCAAGGUCUCUAUACAGGUGGUGCAUGGUUGUCGUCAGCUCGUGUCGUGAGAUGUUGGGUUAAGUCCCGCAACGAGCGCAACCCUCGUCCUAUGUUGCCAGCACGUAAUGGUGGGAACUCAUGGGAUACUGCCGGGGUCAACUCGGAGGAAGGUGGGGAUGACGUCAAAUCAUCAUGCCCCUUAUGUCUUGGGCUUCACGCAUGCUACAAUGGCCGGUACAGAGGGCUGCAAUACCGUAAGGUGGAGCGAAUCCCAAAAAGCCGGUCUCAGUUCGGAUUGAGGUCUGCAACUCGACCUCAUGAAGUCGGAGUCGCUAGUAAUCGUGGAUCAGAAACGCUA
rnacentral:rRNA from 1 species